rnacentral:rRNA from 1 species
AAUCCAUAGGUUAAUGAGGCGAACCGGGGGAACUGAAACAUCUAAGUACCCCGAGGAAAAGAAAUCAACCGAGAUUCCCCCAGUAGCGGCGAGCGAACGGGGAGGAGCCCAGAGCCUGAAUCAGCAUGUGUGUUAGUGGAAGCGUCUGGAAAGGCGCGCGAUACAGGGUGACAGCCCCGUACACAAAAGCGCAUGUGCUGUGAGCUCGAUGAGUAGGGCGGGACACGUGGUAUCCUGUCUGAAUAUGGGGGGACCAUCCUCCAAGGCUAAAUACUCCUGACUGACCGAUAGUGAACCAGUACCGUGAGGGAAAGGCGAAAAGAACCCCGGCGAGGGGAGUGAAAAAGAACCUGAAACCGUGUACGUACAAGCAGUGGGAGCACAGGUUUACCUGUGUGACUGCGUACCUUUUGUAUAAUGGGUCAGCGACUUAUAUUCUGUAGCAAGGUUAACCGUAUAGGGGAGCCGUAGGGAAACCGAGUCUUAAUUGGGCGUUAAGUUGCAGGGUAUAGACCCGAAACCCGGUGAUCUAGCCAUGGGCAGGUUGAAGGUUGGGUAACACUAACUGGAGGACCGAACCGACUAAUGUUGAAAAAUUAGCGGAUGACCUGUGGCUGGGGGUGAAAGGCCAAUCAAACCGGGAGAUAGCUGGUUCUCCCCGAAAGCUAUUUAGGUAGCGCCUCGUGAAUUCAUCUCCGGGGGUAGAGCACUGUUUCGGCUAGGGGGCCAUCCCGGCUUACCAACCCGAUGCAAACUGCGAAUACCGGAGAAUGUUAUCACGGGAGACACACGGCGGGUGCUAACGUCCGUCGUGAAGAGGGAAACAACCCAGACCGCCAGCUAAGGUCCCAAAGUCAUGGUUAAGUGGGAAACGAUGUGGGAAGGCCCAGACAGCCAGGAUGUUGGCUUAGAAGCAGCCAUCAUUUAAAGAAAGCGUAAUAGCUCACUGGUCGAGUCGGCCUGCGCGGAAGAUGUAACGGGGCUAAACCAUG